ACACUUACACGGUUUACUCAGCGUUUUUGAGUCAAGAUAACCUACGAAAGGUGAUCAUGAGGUGAUGCAUGAUUAGCUCAGCUUAUUACACGUGAACCCGUGAACUUUACACAACCACGCACAAGCAACAUGCGAUAAAAGUCAAUAAACUAUCAUCAUCUGAUUUGUUUGAUUCUGAAGCAUGAAUGUAAAUACUAUAGUAUUUACAUUCAUGUUCUGAAGUCAGAUCUGUGUCUAUUGUGUGUAAAUAUUUAGUUAAACUAUCAAUUAAAACAUGCACGGAUUUUUAUAAAAGUUUUAAACCAAAUAUGGGUGACACUGAAUUACCCCCAGGGGAAAUUUUAUGCCCCGUAAAGUCAAUAAAUCUACUCGCUGCACAAAAUCAAGCCUCAGAAGAAUCCAUCCGUUCCCAAUCGCCAAAAGGGUCAGGAAGGUCGGGGGGUGGGUCAUCAUCAACGACGGAUCAACCCGUCAUCGACCCCACCACGAGUGAAACGCUGUUCCGCAAUUUGAAGAACGCGAAACGGUUUGCCAUUGACAUUGGUGGUUCACUUACAAAAAUUGCAUAUUUUUCUACAGUUUCACACCGACGAAUAAGGUCACGGUCAAAGUCGCCAUUUCCUCCUGCGACGCCAACGUCUCCGCCACCACCGUCGAGUAGCAGUCCGACAUCUGGAGAUGAGGACUUAUCUUCCAGUCAGGUGUCGCAAAGUGGGGGGAAUGAGUUCGAAUAUGACGUCUGGGAAGGGGCGCGUCUUCACUUUAUCAAGUUUGAAACCUUAUUUAUUGAGGAAUGUUUGGACUUUAUUCAGAAACAUUUAGCUCCCAGAGUGGAGCAGGAGGAGGAUGGCGUUUUUUCGACGGGAAAAAGAAUUAAGGCGACAGGUGGUGGGAGCUACAAGUAUUCGCAACUUAUCCAGGAGAAGCUUGGUCUCACUUUGGAGAAAGAAGAUGAAAUCUCGUGUCUAAUCCAAGGAGCAAACUUUCUCUUGAAAAAUGUCCCCGACGAAGCGUUUGUAUUUGAAAGGAAGCAAAAUCCCGAGUACCGCUUUCAAUCAGCGGGCCCCGUCAUGUUCCCCUAUCUUCUGGUCAAUAUUGGAUCUGGGGUCAGUAUUCUUAAGGUCGAGGGUGAAGAUAAAUAUCAGCGGAUUGGAGGAACGGCGACGGGGGGUGGAACAUUUUGGGGACUGGGUUCACUCCUCACCGGCGGAUCCGUGACGGAAUUUGACGAAUUGUUAUCAAUGGCGGAGAAGGGCGAUCAUCGAAAUGUGGACAUGCUAGUAAGAGACAUUUAUGCUGGAGAUUACGCGAAAUUAGGCCUUCCUGGAGAUUUAAUUGCUUCGUCGUUUGGCAAAGCGGUUGCCCAAGGUCCGAAUGAUAUCAACCCUAAUGACGCUAUUCGUUCCCUUCUCUUCACCAUUUCCAACGAUAUUGGGCAAAUCGCGUGCCUUUAUGCUUUGCAACAUGGAUUGAAGCGAAUCUAUUUUGGUGGCUAUUUUCUAAGAAAUCAUCCCCUCUCAAUGUACGCUGUUAGUUAUUCAAUCAAGUAUUGGAGCAAGGGGGAGGUGGAAGCGCUCUUUUUACGACAUGAAGGAUAUCUUGGCGCAAUUGGAGCAUUCCUUAAAGGAACAGAGGAACUGGACUGUGAAAAGUACUCGUGGCAAGAAAACUUUGCUGGAAGUAGUUCUGGUCUUAUUCACGUGGAUAAUCAACGGUCACCAACAAUAGAAAUCCCUAAAUUUGAAGAGCUGAUCCCAACUGCUCCAGAAUUGCAUCUUCGACAUAACAGUCUCGGUCAUAAGUUGACGAGGAAAAAAUCUAGUGAUAUUCUCCGAAUUAAUGUCGAACAGCUAGAGAUCGAUCGAACGGAGCGACCCUUUGGCUUCUUCCCUUUGCUUUGCUCCUCUUCUGAGUAUUUUCCUGACUGUGUCGACCUCACAAAGGAAGUUGAAGCGAGAGAUUAUUGGUUAACCUGCUUUCAAGGUUGGGUUGAACGAAUUACACUAAUUGCAAUGGAGAGCCAAACCGAUUCACCCACCUCGACAGACCGUGCUCUGCGUUGUCGACAAAAACUGAAAUCUCGUCUCAACUACUUACAAUCUAACCCUUGUGCAUAUGGUCUUCUUACCGUUCGAAGUUUAUUGGACACUUUUGAGCAAAGUUUGCGAGAGUAUGAUUUCCCAGAUCCAUACUGGAAUUUAAAGCAAUGUGAAAAUGCCGCAGCCGUUUCCGAGCUGCAAUUACAACUUGACCAUUUGGACAAAUUAAAGUGGAAGGAUCGCCAAGCAGAACUUAUCUAUUCGUUCCUUGCUGGCAACGUGUUCGACUGGGGAGCUCGAGAGGUUACUUCCCUCCUCGAAGGUCCAGACCAGUUUGGCUUUGCUGAGGCGAGAGCAAAGGUUCAGAAACGACCUUGGCUCGUCGACCGUUUAGACGAAUGGAUAAACCGACUUAAAGAUCCGUCCAAAAUUCAUAAAUGUGUGGCAAUUUUUGUGGAUAAUUCUGGUUUUGAUUUUGUCCUGGGUGUGCUACCCUUUGUUCGAGAGUUUCUUUCUCGAGGCACAAAAGUGAUACUUUGCUCAAACUCCUGCCCUGCCGUAAACGACAUGACUUAUCCCGAAAUGGUUGGACUUCUUCAAGAGCUCUCCGUUAGUCAACAGUGGUUGCGCGAAGGAUUGGAUUCUGGUCAACUUAAACUGGCAGGAACAGGGCAGGCGUCUCCAUGUCUGGAUUUAUCUCGAGUAUCGCAAGACCUGAUAAAUCUAGUUAUGUUAAUGGAAACAGACCUCGUAAUUAUAGAGGGAAUGGGGCGAACAAUUCAUACAAAUCUCUACACCAAGUUUAAAUGUGAAGUCAUAAAGUUGGCAGUGAUUAAGAACAAGUGGUUGGCCAAUCGGUUUGGAGGAGAUCUCUUUUCGGUAGUGUUUUCAUACGAGACUCCUUCUCUUCCUGGAAUAAUUUCUAGUCCUACCAAAUCUUAAACUAAUUUUAGAAAAAAUACUACAUACAACCAGCGAUGCUCUGUGUCUUGGGGAGAAUGUUAAAUCUACUACCCCCAAACGUUAAGGUUAGUUACAGUGAAUUUGCUCAAAAAAAUUUUUGAAAUUGUGCAAAAUAUUCUUUAAAGUUUCACCAUUUGUGUGACACUUACAUACGUGUAGAUUUUAGGUAUCUCUCUUAAAAGGAUUUUAACAGUUUUGUCAUUUUAAUUUGUCGGCCAUGGUCAAAGUGUGCGUAUUGUUCACUCUUCAAGAAAUAGCAUUGUGAUAUAACGUAAAAUAUUUAAUUAUAAUUAAAGUCAAAUUACAUUCCAUUAAUAA